ACGUAGGACGCAAGCGUUAUCCGGAAUUACUGGGCGUAAAGGGCGUGCAGGCGGCACGGUAAGUCAACCGUGAAAGCUCCCGGCUAAACUGGGAGAGGGCGGGUGAGACUGCCGAGCUAGAGGGUGGUAGAGGGGUGUGGAAUUCCGGGUGUAGUGGUGAAAUGCGUAGAGAUCCGGAGGAACACCAGAGGCGAAGGCGGCACCCUGGGCGACAACUGACGCUGAGACGCGAAAGCAUGGGGAGCGAACGG
rnacentral:rRNA from 1 species